UACGUAGGGUGCAAGCGUUAAUCGGAAUUACUGGGCGUAAAGCGUGCGCAGGCGGUUUUGUAAGUCUGUCGUGAAAUCCCCGGGCUCAACCUGGGAAUGGCGAUGGAGACUGCAAGGCUAGAGUUUGGCAGAGGGGGGUAGAAUUCCACGUGUAGCAGUGAAAUGCGUAGAUAUGUGGAGGAACACCGAUGGCGAAGGCAGCCCCCCGGGUCAAAACUGACGCUCAUGCACGAAAGCGUGGGGAGCAAACAGG
rnacentral:rRNA from 1 species